UUAUAACAAAAGUGUAAAAGUCCGCUUGUGGAACUAGUACUUUUUUCAUCAAUAUUAAUGAAUUAUUCACUUAAACAAGCUCUUGUAUCUUCCUGAUAAGUUGCUUGAGUCUUAUUUCAAGUUUGGUAAAAGACUCAUAGUAAAACCUAGAUACUAUAAAACCCCUUGUAAGCUUCUGUGUUUUUGCAUUGUAACAGGUUAAUUACUGUCAGAACUGAUUUCUGUAAUAAUAAAAUAAAAAAAAACUGGAAAGAGCAGCUCAGUGUUGAGAGCAGGCCUUGAAUCACACGAAAAAAGAAAAGUAUGGAGAAUAAAAAGGUCAAAUUAUUCAGAAUAAGUUCUACUUCAGUUCAUCAUCCAAAUUCCUGGGGUUUUGUUCAAAUUUGUAUUUUUUUGUUUCCCCCACAAAACGCUCUCCGUUCAGUCCAUUUUCUCGUAAAGCAGAGCACACGUCGAUCCAUUUUAACAGACUUCUCACACGUUCCCAGGCAGCUGCUAUCUAACCGGAGUGCCGCGCUUUGCCCCCCUCUCCUCGUCGUAUUUAGCCUCUUUGGCGCUGCAGAGAGGCAGCGGGCACCGCGACUCUCAACCUCUCAUCUCUGAAGAGCUCUCGUGGUUUUCCACAGCAGCACGAAGCGCCACGAACGCAGCUGCCGCUUCACACCCGAUCACCAGGAGGCCUCGCCCGCCUAAUGAAUAAAUUAUCCAGUUUUACAGAUGUUUCCAAGCCCUGCUGCACUGUAAAGCUCCUCGCAGAGGCUCCAGCUUGAAGAGCUCGUCCAAGGCCGCUACCAAAGCUGUGAAGGGAGCGGCGGUGACCGGCCCCCGCCGGACCGAUGACUUGUUGUUUAUGGUCGCCUCCCUGGGCCAACCGGCUGCCACUGUACCCCAGCUGGACCCGUCCUGUGAACCGACCAUUGACCUCACCAAAGCCCCGUCGUCUUACAACCAACCUGUGGUUGUGGUUUCACUGGUGGCCCACUUUGAGGGCUGACACUUGGCUAUUGCCGUGAAAACUUCAAAUCCCUGUCCGGGAAGUCAUUAACAAUGUUGUAGGGCUCCGGACAUCAUCUCUGCCUCGGCCUGCCUGGUGGUAGACUGGUAACUAAGGGAAACCGUGAAAUGCCUCUGGACAACGUGAGCAAAAACCCACUGCAGUGAACACACAGAAGCUUUGAGGCCUUUGUUUAUCUGCAGAACACUUGACUUUUAAACUUUUCUUUCAAAGAAGCAAACAAAAAAGGAGAAUUAUCUGGAUCAUUCAAAGGGCCUUAUGUGUUUUGAAGAUGAACAUUGACCGAGGUAUAUUUUUCAAUUGAUUUGUUACUGACAGCACAAGAAGAACCUGGGCAGUUUAUGACCCAAAGUAUUUUAAAGUUUUGUUACUCAGAGGUAAAGUUUUGAAGAAAUGUUUGAGCACAAGAAAAAUACUCUACAAAUGAUUUUAGACCUUAAAUUUUUUUAAGCUUUUAACUUGCUGCAAUUUCACGGAAGGACUUCGACCUGCAUCAAACAACCUGGUUCUAAAUGUAGAGUAAUUAGGGACUUACUCUACAUGUAGCACUGCUGAUGUAGCAUGGUAACAACAUUAAAGUUCCUCUGGUGCAACAUGG